rnacentral:rRNA from 1 species
UACGUAGGGAGCAAGCGUUGUCCGGAAUCAUUGGGCGUAAAGCGCGCGUAGGUGGCUUCGUAAGUCCGUUGUGAAAGUCAAAGGCUCAACCUUUGAAAGCCGAUGGAUACUGUGAAGCUAGAGUACGGAAGAGGCGAGUGGAAUUCCUGGUGUAGCGGUGAAAUGCGCAGAUAUCAGGAAGAACACCCGUGGCGAAGGCGGCUCUCUGGGACGUGACUGACGCUGAGACGCGAAAGCGUGGGGAGCGAACAGG